rnacentral:rRNA from 1 species
UUGAACGACUGGCGGCGAUGCUUUACUACAUAGCGAAGUCGGACGGCGAGCACAGAGAAGCUUGCGUUCUUGGGUGGCGAGUGGCGAACGGUGAGUAACAUAUCGGAACGUACCGGGCGAUGGGGGAUAACUAAUCGAAAGAUUAGCUAAUACCGCAUAUUUCUGAGGAGAAAGCAGGGGACCAUUUGGCCUUGCGCUGUUUGAGCGGCCGAUAUCUGAUUAGCUAGUUGUGGGGUAAAGGCCUACCAAGGCGACGAUCAGUAGCGGGUCUGAGAGGAUGAUCCGCCACACUGGGACUGAGACACGGCCCAGACUCCUACGGGAGGCAGCAGUGGGGAAUUUUGGACAAUGGGCGCAAGCCUGAUCCAGCCAUGCCGCGUGUCUGAAGAAGGCCUUCGGGUUGUAAAGGACUUUUGUCAGGGAAGAAAAGGGCGGGGUUAAUACCCCUGUCUGACGACGGUACCUGAAGAAUAAGCACCGGCUAACUACGUG